rnacentral:rRNA from 1 species
AUUGAACGCUGGCGGCAGGCCUAACACAUGCAAGUCGAGCGGAUGAAGGGAGCUUGCUCCUGGAUUCAGCGGCGGACGGGUGAGUAAUGCCUAGGAAUCUGCCUGGUAGUGGGGGAUAACGUCCGGAAACGGGCGCUAAUACCGCAUACGUCCUGAGGGAGAAAGUGGGGGAUCUUCGGACCUCACGCUAUCAGAUGAGCCUAGGUCGGAUUAGCUAGUUGGUGGGGUAAAGGCCUACCAAGGCAACGAUCCGUAACUGGUCUGAGAGGAUGAUCAGUCACACUGGGACAGAGACACAUGCCGGACACCUACUGGAGGCACCAGUGGGGAAGUGUGGACAAUGGGGGCAACACCGAUCCAACCAUGACGGGGGAGGGAAGAACGCCUUCGGGUUCUAAAGCUCUUUCGGCAGAAAAGAAAAAGUGAGCUCUAAUAUAUCUUGCUAAGGACGGUACCUGAUGAAGAAGAACCGGCUAACUACGUG